UUUCAGUACUGACCAACAUUUUUGUUUUUAAUCUCAGGACUCACUGGAUUCAAACACAUUAAUUCAUCUUAAAAUCUUUAGGAGAUGCUGGAAAGACGCACUUCCACAACAGCAGAACUCGAGCAAGGUGAUGACUGACAACUGCAGGACCUGUAAUAUAUUCAACUUGUCAUUUGAAGAGAUACUACGCUAAUCCCUACAGCAAAAUAAAUUCAAUACUUGUUGCUCACUACUU